rnacentral:rRNA from 1 species
AGUGAACGCUGGCGGUAGGCCUAACACAUGCAAGUCGAACGGCAGCACAGUAAGAGCUUGCUCUUACGGGUGGCGAGUGGCGGACGGGUGAGGAAUACAUCGGAAUCUACUUUUUCGUGGGGGCUAACGUAGGGAAACUUACGCUAAUACCGCAUACGACCUACGGGUGAAAGCAGGGGAUCUUCGGACCUUGCGCGAUUGAAUGAGCCGAUGUCGGAUUAGCUAGUUGGCGGGGUAAAGGCCCACCAAGGCGACGAUCCGUAGCUGGUCUGAGAGGAUGAUCAGCCACACUGGAACUGAGACACGGUCCAGACUCCUACGGGAGGCAGCAGUGGGGAAUAUUGGACAAUGGGCGCAAGCCUGAUCCAGCCAUACCGCGUGAGUGAAGAAGGCCUUCGGGUUGUAAAGCCCUGUUGUUGGGAAAGAAAAGCAGCAGGUUAAUACCCCGCUGUUCUGACGGUACCCAAAGAAUAAGCACCGGCUAACUUCGUG